rnacentral:rRNA from 1 species
ACGAACGCUGGCGGCGUGCUUAACACAUGCAAGUCGAACGAAGAGCGCCGGAAGCUUGCUUCUAUCAAUCUUAGUGGCGAACGGGUGAGUAACGCGUAAUCAACCUGCCCUUCAGAGGGGGACAACAGUUGGAAACGACUGCUAAUACCGCAUACGAUCUAACCUCGGCAUCGAGGAUAGAUGAAAGGUGGCCUCUACAUGUAAGCUAUCACUGAAGGAGGGGAUUGCGUCUGAUUAGCUAGUUGGAGGGGUAACGGCCCACCAAGGCGAUGAUCAGUAGCCGGUCUGAGAGGAUGAACGGCCACAUUGGGACUGAGACACGGCCCAGACUCCUACGGGAGGCAGCAGUGGGGAAUCUUCCGCAAUGGACGAAAGUCUGACGGAGCAACGCCGCGUGAGUGAUGACGGCCUUCGGGUUGUAAAGCUCUGUUAAUCGGGACGAAAGGCCUUCUUGCGAAUAGUGAGAAGGAUUGACGGUACCGGAAUAGAAAGCCACGGCUAACUACGUG